CGGGUGUCAUGGCGCGUGCGGCGCCCGCGAUGCCGAGCACGUCGAGUGCGCCCGCGCGUUCGAGGUGCGCGGCGUCCGGC
rnacentral:tRNA from 1 species